GUCCCCGUAGUGAAAUCAAUAGUACGAUGGACUUCUCAUCCAUAGGUCGUGGGCUUGAAUCCCACCUGGGAUG